UACGAACUGUGCGAACGUUAUUCGGAAUCACUGGGCUUACAGGGUGCGUAGGCGGCUUAGCAAGUCAGGUGUGAAAGCCCCCCGGCUCAACCGGGGGAACUGCGCUUGAAAACUGCUGAGCUCGAGUCAGCUAGAGGUACACGGAACUUCCAGUGGAGCGGUGAAAUGUGUUGAUAUUGGAAGGAACACCGGAGGCGAAAGCGGUGUACUGGGGCUGGUCUGACGCUGAGGCACGAAAGCCAGGGGAGCGAACGGG
rnacentral:rRNA from 1 species